AGACAAUCCAAUUCCUUGGAGCAGGGUCCAGCCUUCUGGACGAAAAAUUUCGAUGGGCUUUCUACAAAAGAUACCAUCACUUCGCAGAAUCUAGAAAUGCGAUCAAGGAUAUUUGAAGGAUAAGGAAACUAGUUACACGGGACCCAACCUGGAUCAAUGAAAGAGACAGCUGUGCAGGUUUCUUCCUCAAUCUGUUUAAUACUAGUACCAUUCCUUCCAAUGAG